rnacentral:rRNA from 1 species
AGCGAACGCUGGCGGCAGGCCUAACACAUGCAAGUCGAGGGGUAACAAGAGAAAAGCUUGCUUUUCUUGUUGACGACCGGCGCACGGGUGAGUAACGCGUAUCCAACCUGCCUAUAACUAGGGAAUAACCUUGCGAAAGUAAGACUAAUACCCUAUGAUUUCCUUUGAUGACAUCAGAUUAGGAAUAAAGAUUUAUCGGUUAUAGAUGGGGAUGCGUCUGAUUAGCUUGUUGGCGGGGUAACGGCCCACCAAGGCAACGAUCAGUAGGGGUUCUGAGAGGAAGGUCCCCCACAUUGGAACUGAGACACGGUCCAAACUCCUACGGGAGGCAGCAGUGAGGAAUAUUGGUCAAUGGGCGGAAGCCUGAACCAGCCAAGUAGCGUGCAGGAUGACGGCCCUAUGGGUUGUAAACUGCUUUUAUACAGGAAUAAAGUUAGCCACGUGUGGUUAUUUGUAGGUACUGUAUGAAUAAGGACCGGCUAAUUCCGUGCCAGCCGCCGCCGUAAGAC